rnacentral:rRNA from 1 species
GGGGUAAUCUAUUACCUAGUGGCGAACGGGUGAGUAACACGCGUUUUACCUACCUUAAAGUUUGGAAUACCCGCUGGAAACAGCGGUUAAUACCGAAUAUGUUACUGAGUUUAUCUUAGUAAUGAAAGAAGCGUUUGUUUCGCUUUUUGAUGGGAAUACGGUGCAUUAGAUUGUUGGUAGGGUAAAGGCCUACCAAGUCGGCGAUGCAUAGCCGGACUGAGAGGUUGAACGGCCACACUGGGAUUGAGAUACGGCCCAGACUCCUACGGGAGGCAGCAGUAGGGAAUUUUUCACAAUGGACGAAAGUCUGAUGGAGCAAUGCCGCGUGACUGAUGAAGGUCCUUGGAUCGUAAAAGUCUGUGGUAGAGAAAGAAUGACUAAAGAAGGAAAUGUCUUUAGUUUGACGGUACUUUACUAGAAAGUCAUGACUAAUUACGUGCCAGCAGUCGCGGUAAUACGUAAGUGACGAGCAUUAUCCGGAUUUAUUGGGCGUAAAGUAUGCGUAGAUGGCUUAACAAGUCAAAAGUUCAAAAACGAGGCUCAACCUCGUUAUGCUUUUGAGACUGUUAGACUAGAAGUUGGAAGACGUUAAUGGAAUUUCAUAUGGAGCGGUGGAAUGCGUGGAGAUAUGAAGGAACACCAAAAGC